GUCCCUUCGGGUACAUCUGAUAAAAUUGGAACCAUACAGAGAAGAUUAGCAUGGCCCUGCAGAAGGAUGACACGCAUAAAUCAAGAAAUGGUCCAAAAAAAU
rnacentral:snRNA from 1 species